rnacentral:rRNA from 1 species
GAUGAACGCUGGCGGCGUGCCUAAUACAUGCAAGUCGAGCGAACAGACGAGGAGCUUGCUCCUCUGACGUUAGCGGCGGGCGGGUGAGUAACACGUGGAUAACCUACCUAUAAGACUGGGAUAACUUCGGGAAACCGGAGCUAAUACCGGAUAAUAUAUUGAACCGCAUGGUUCAAUAGUGAAAGACGGUUUUGCUGUCACUUAUAGAUGGAUCCGCGCCGCAUUAGCUAGUUGGUAAGGUAACGGCUUACCAAGGCAACGAUGCGUAGCCGACCUGAGAGGGUGAUCGGCCACACUGGAACUGAGACACGGUCCAGACUCCUACGGGAGGCAGCAGUAGGGAAUCUUCCGCAAUGGGCGAAAGCCUGACGGAGCAACGCCACGUGAGUGAUGAAGGUCUUCGGAUCGUAAAACUCUGUUAUUAGGGAAGAACAAAUGUGUAAGUAACUAUGCACGUCUUGACGGUACCUAAUCAGAAAGCCACGGCUAACUACGUG